rnacentral:rRNA from 1 species
AUUGAACGCUGGCGGCAGGCCUAACACAUGCAAGUCGAACGAGUGGCGGACGGGUGAGUAAUGUCUGGGAAACUGCCCGAUGGAGGGGGAUAACUACUGGAAACGGUAGCUAAUACCGCAUACCAUCGGAUGUGCCCAUAUGGGAUUAGCUAGUAGGUGGGGUAACGGCUCACCUAGGCGACGAUCCCUAGCUGGUCUGAGAGGAUGACCAGCCACACGGGGACUGAGACACGGUCCAGACUCCGACGGGAGGCAGCAGUGGGGAAUAUUGCACAAUGGGCGCAAGCCUGAUGCAGCCAUGCCGCGUGUAUGAAGAAGGCCUUCGGGUUGUAAAGUACUUUCAGCGAGGAGGCGUUACUCGCAGAAGAAGCACCGGCUAACUCCGUGCCAGCAGCCGCGGUAAUAC